rnacentral:rRNA from 1 species
GUACACUCCUACGGGAGGCAGCAGUGGGGAAUAUUGGACAAUGGGCGCAAGCCUGAUCCAGCCAUGCCGCGUGAGUGAUGAAGGCCCUAGGGUUGUAAAGCUCUUUCACCGGUGAAGAUAAUGACGGUAACCGGAGAAGAAGCCCCGGCUAACUUCGUGCCAGCAGCCGCGGUAAUACGAAGGGGGCUAGCGUUGUUCGGAUUUACUGGGCGUAAAGCGCACGUAGGCGGACUAUUAAGUCAGGGGUGAAAUCCCGGGGCUCAACCCCGGAACUGCCUUUGAUACUGGUAGUCUUGAGUUCGAGAGAGGUGAGUGGAAUUCCGAGUGUAGAGGUGAAAUUCGUAGAUAUUCGGAGGAACACCAGUGGCGAAGGCGGCUCACUGGCUCGAUACUGACGCUGAGGUGCGAAAGCGUGGGGAGCAAACAGGAUUAGAUACCCGGGUAGUCCCAUGAU